UUAAGCAUAUUAAUUAGGGGAGGAAAAGAAACUAACCAGGAUUUUCUUAGUAGCGGCGAGCGAAAAGAAAUCAGUUCAGCUCUAAGUCACUUUGUCUAUAUGGCAAACGUGAGAUGCAGUGUAUGGAGCGUCAAUAUUCUAGUAUGAGAAAUUAACGAUUUAAGUCCUUCUUAAAUGAGGCCAUUUACCCAUAGAGGGUGCCAGGCCCGUAUAACGUUAAUGAUUACUAGAUGAUGUUUCCAAAGAGUCGUGUUGCUUGAUAGUGCAGCACUAAGUGGGUGGUAAACUCCAUCUAAAACUAAAUAUAACCAUGAGACCGAUAGUAAACAAGUACCGUGAGGGAAAGUUGAAAAGAACUCUGAAUAGAGAGUUAAACAGUACGUGAAACUGCUUAGAGGUUAAGCCCGAUGAACCUGAAUAUCCGUUAUGGAAAAUUCAUCAUUAAAGUUGUAAUAUUUUAAAAAUAUUAUAAUAAUAGUGUGCAUUUUUUCCAUAUAAGGACAUUGUAAUCUAUUAGCAUAUAACAAAUUUAUCAUAAAAUAUGACUUAUAGUUUAUUCAAAUUAUUAUGCUUGCAUUUUAACAUAGAAUAAAUGUCAUUAAUUUGAUAGUGUUGAUAAAUUCAAUUUAAUACAGUGCGUUAAUAUUUCGAAAUUAUAUAAUGGCAUAAUUAUCAUCGAUUUUUGUGUUUAUUAUAUGCAUUUGUAUGAUUAACAAUGCGAAAGAUUCAGGAUACAUUCGGGACCCGUCUUGAAACGCGGACCAAGAAGUCUAACAUAUGUGCAAGUUAUUGGGAGAUAAACCUAAUAGCGUAAUUAACUUGACUAAUAAUGGGAUUAGUUUUUUAACUAUUUAUAGAUAAUUAACACAAUCGCGGGGCGUUCUAUAUAGUUAUGCAUAAUAAUAUUUAUAUUAAUUAUGCCUCUAACUAGAACGUACCUUGAGCAUAUAUGCUGUGACCCGAAAGAUGGUGAACUAUAAUUGAUCAGGUUGAAGUCAGGGGAAACCCUGAUGGAAGACCGAAACAGUUCUGACGUGCAAAUCGAUUGUCAGAAUUGAGUAUAAGGCGAAAGACCAAUCGAACCAUCUAGUAGCUGGUACCUUCCGAAGUUUCCCUCAGGAUAGCUGGUGCAUUUUAAUGUUAUAUAAAAUAAUCUUAUCUGGUAAAGCGAAUGAUUAGAGGCCUUAGGGUCGAAACGAUCUUAACCUAUUCUCAAACUUUAAAUGGGUAAGAACCUUAACUUUCUUGAUAUGAAGUUUAAGGCUAUGAUAUAAUGUGCCCAGUGGGCCACUUUUGGUAAGCAGAACUGGCGCUGUGGGAUGAACCAAACGUAAUGUUACGGUGCCCAAAUUAACAACUCAUGCAAAACAGCGGGACGGUGAUCAUGGAAGUCGAAAUCCGCUAAGGAGUGUGUAACAACUCACCUGCCGAAGCAACUAGCCCUUAAAAUGUAUGGCGCUUAAGUUGUAUACCUAUACAUUACCGGUAAAGUAGAUGAUUUAUAUCACUUGUGAUAUAAAUUUUGAAAUUUUAGUGAGUAGGAAGGUACAAUGGUAUGCGUAGAAGUGUUUGCCGUAAGCCUUCAUGGAGCUGCCAUUGGCACAGAUCUUGGUGGUAGUAGCAAAUAAUCGAAUGAGACCUUGGAGGACUGAAGUGGAGAAGGGUUUCGUGAGAACAGUGGUUGAUCACGAGUUAGUCGGUCCUAAGUUCAAGGCGAAAGCCGAAAAUUUUCAAGUAAAAAAUCAGUGAGUAAUAUUGUCAAAUCUUUUAUGAUUUUUAAAUACUUGCAUAAUUUUGAACGAAAGGGAAUACGGUUCCAAUUCCGUAACCUGUUGAGUAUUCGUUUGUUAUUAAAUAUGGGCCUAGUAAUCUUCCUGGCAACAGGAACGACCAUAAAGAAGCCGUCGAGAGAUAUCGGAAGAGUUUUCUUUUCUGUUUUAUAGCCGUACUACCAUGGAAGUCUUUCGCAGAGAGAUAUGGUAGAUAGGCUACUGUUGUGUCGAUAUUUUCUCCUCGGACCUUGAAAAUUUAUGGUGGGGAAACGCAAACUUCUCAACAGGCCGUACCAAUAUCCGCAGCUGGUUUCCAAGGUGAAGAGUCUCUAGUCGAUAGAAUAAUGUAGGUAAGGGAAGUCGGCAAAUCCGUAACUUCGGGAUAAGGAUUGGCUCUGAAGAUUGAGAUAGUCGGGCUUGAUUGGGAAACAAUAACAUGGUUUAUGUGCUCGUUCUGGGUAAAUAGAGUUUCUAUCAUUUAUGGUAGUUACUUGUUCCCCGGAUAGUUUAGUUACGUAGCCAAUUGUGGAACUUUCUUGCUAAAAUUUUUAAGAAUACUUAUUGGGUUAAACCAGAUAGUUCUUAUUAAUUAUAACGAUUAUCAAUUAACAAUCAAUUCAGAACUGGCACGGACUUGGGGAAUCCGACUGUCUAAUUAAAACAAAGCAUUGUAAUGGCCCUAGCGGGUGUUGACACAAUGUGAUUUCUGCCCAGUGCUCUGAGUGUCAAAGUGAAGAAAUUCAAGUAAGCGCGGGUCAACGGGAGCCAAAUGCCUGGAUGAAAAUGGAUGAAAAUGAAUGGAUUAAAGAGAUUCCUACUGUCCCUAUCUACUAUCUAGCGAAACCACAGCCAAGGGAACGGGCUUGGAAUAAUUAGCGGGGGUAAGAAGACCCUUUUGAGCUUGACUCUAAUCUGGCAGUGUAAGGAGACAUAAGAUGUGUAGCAUAAGUGGGAGAUAUUAGAUUUCGGUUUGGACAAUGUUUCGACAAUGAAAUACACUACUCUUAUUGUUUCCUUACGGAUAUAUUUAUUAUAUCUUAUGGUAUUGGGUUUUGAUGCAAGCUUCUUGAUCAAAGUAUCACGAGUUUGUUAUAUAUAUAUAUAUAAUUAGCGGGGAAAGAAGACCCUUUUGAGCUUGACUCUAAUCUGGCAGUGUAAGGAGACAUAAGAUGUGUAGCAUAAGUGGGAGAUAUUAGAUUUCGGUUUGGACAAUGUUUCGACAAUGAAAUACACUACUCUUAUUGUUUCCUUACGGAUAUAUUUAUUAUAUCUUAUGGUAUUGGGUUUUGAUGCAAGCUUCUUGAUCAAAGUAUCACGAGUUUGUUAUAUAAUCGCAAACAAAUUCUUUAAUGAGAAAAUGCAUAUGUAUAUGUAUUUUCAAUUUGAAAAUUUGGUAUUACUCCAAUUACUCAGGUAUGAUCCAAUUCAAGGACAUUGCCAGGUAGGUAGUUUGCCUGGGGCGGUACAUAACUCAAAUAAUAACGGAGGUAUCCCAAGGCCAGCUCAGUGCGGACAGAAACCACACAUAGAGCAAAAGGGCAAAUGCUGACUUGAUCUCGGUGUUCAGUACACACAGGGACAGCAAAAGCUCGGCCUAUCGAUACUUUUGGUUUAAAGAGUUUUUAACAAGAGGUGUCAGAAAAGUUACCAUAGGGAUAACUGGCUUGUGGCGGCCAAGCGUUCAUAGCGACGUCG
rnacentral:rRNA from 1 species